CAGCCGCGGUAAUACGGAGGAUCCGAGCGUUAUCCGGAUUUAUUGGGUUUAAAGGGUGCGUAGGCGGCUUUUUAAGUCAGGGGUGAAAGACGGUAGCUCAACUAUCGCAGUGCCUUUGAUACUGAAGAGCUUGAAUGUACUUGAGGUAGGCGGAAUGUGACAAGUAGCGGUGAAAUGCAUAGAUAUGUCACAGAACACCAAUUGCGAAGGCAGCUUACUAAAGUAUGAUUGACGCUGAGGCACGAAAGCGUGGGGAUCAAACAGGAUUAGAUACCCUGGUAGUCCACGCCCUAAACGAUGAAUACUCGAUGUUGGCGAUAUACAGUCAGCGUCAAAGCGAAAGCGUUAAGUAUUCCACCUGGGGAGUACGCCCGCAAGGGUGAAACUCAAAGGAAUUGACGGGGGCCCGCACAAGCGGAGGAGCAUGUGGUUUAAUUCGAUGAUACGCGAGGAACCUUACCCGGGCUUGAAAGUUAGUGAAUGAGACAGAGACGUCUCAGUCCUUCGGGACACGAAACUAGGUGCUGCAUGGCUGUCGUCAGCUCGUGCCGUGAGGUGUUGGGUUAAGUCCCGCAACGAGCGCAACCCCUAUGUUUAGUUGCCAGCAUGUAAAGGUGGGGACUCUAAACAGACUGCCUACGCAAGUAGAGAGGAAGGAGGGGACGACGUCAAGUCAUCAUGGCCCUUACGUCCGGGGCUACACACGUGCUACAAUGGGCAGUACAGAGGGCAGCUACCUGGUAACAGGAUGCCAAUCUCAAAAAGCUGUUCACAGUUCGGAUCGGGGUCUGCAACUCGACCCCGUGAAGUUGGAUUCGCUAGUAAUCGCAGAUCAGCAAUGCUGCGGUGAAUACGUUCCCGGGCCUUGUACACACCGCCCGUCAAGCCAUGGAAGCUGGGGGUGCCUGAAGUGCGUAACCGCAAGGAGCGUCCUAGGGUAAAACCGGUAACUGGGGCUAAGUCGUAACAAGGUAACC
rnacentral:rRNA from 1 species